rnacentral:rRNA from 14 species
ACUCAAAGGAAUUGACGGGGGCCCGCACAAGCGGCGGAGCAUGUGGAUUAAUUCGAUGCAACGCGAAGAACCUUACCAAGGCUUGACAUACACCGGAAACGGCCAGAGAUGGUCGCCCCCUUGUGGUCGGUGUACAGGUGGUGCAUGGUUGUCGUCAGCUCGUGUCGUGAGAUGUUGGGUUAAGUCCCGCAACGAGCGCAACCCUCGUCCUUAGUUGCCAUCAUUAAGUUGGGCACUUUAAGGAAACUGCCGGUGAUAAGCCGGAGGAAGGUGGGGA